UACGUAGGGGGCAAGCGUUGUCCGGAAUCAUUGGGCGUAAAGAGCGUGUAGGCGGCCAGGUAGGUCUGCUGUGAAAACUCGAGGCUCAACCUCGAGACGUCGGCGGAAACCAUCUGGCUAGAGUCCGGAAGAGGAGAGUGGAAUUCCUGGUGUAGCGGUGAAAUGCGCAGAUAUCAGGAAGAACACCCGUGGCGAAGGCGGCUCACUGGGCUGACCUUGACGCUGAGGCGCGAAGGCGUGGGGAGCGAACGGG
rnacentral:rRNA from 1 species